GCUGGGAAGGCAAAGGGACGUU
rnacentral:ncRNA from 2 species